UACGGAGGGUGCAGGCGUUAUUCGGUAUCACUGGGCUUAAAGAGUUCGUAGGCGGCCGUGUAGGUCAGGUGUGAAAUCCCACAGCUCAACUGUGGAACUGCGCUUGAAACCACACGGCUUGAGGAAGAUAGAGGUGAGUGGAUCAGAUGGUGGAGCGGUGAAAUGCGUUGAUAUCAUCUGGAACACCGGUGGCGAAAGCGGCUCACUGGAUCUUUUCUGACGCUGAGGAACGAAAGCUAGGGUAGCGAACGGG
rnacentral:misc_RNA from 1 species